AGAAGAUGAUGGGACUGAAGGAACCAAGCGAAUGAGAGGGCUUGAGGACAUUGGAAAAGAACAUGUGGGUGCUACUGUCUUGCAUAGGCAAGAAAUGGGUUCUAUCUGUAGUGUAAACCUCAGUAAUAGCUAUAUUGCUUCCAAUGGGUACAAGGCAUGCUCACCGUUGUCACUGAAAAGAAAAAGGUCCCAAGUCACUAACGCUAGUGAGUGCUCUAAAAGGAAAAACCGAAGCCGGCAACUGACAAAGGUGUUAGAGUGUACAGCUAUGGUCUGUGUCCCUGGUACCUCUGACCAGCUUGUCACAUCUGGAUUGGAGCCUGUUGAAUCCAUGAAGAGUGUAUCUGUUGUAAUCAACAAUAACUCAGAUAGCACUGGGGUCUCAUGCGAGAAUGCUCCUGAGCAUGUUGUUGGAGACUCACAUAACAACAAGGCAAAAGACAGUGAAACUUCCAGCGUAUCAGUUUCAGCGGAAGACGACCCUUCUGUGCAGUUAUAUGAUGUUCCAUUAACUGAAGGAGAAGCAAAACACUCUGCAGGUAUCAAUGGUUUUAAACCUUGUUUAAGUGCUAUGUUUAUGUUUGUACAGCUCUAGCUCCAAGAAUCUACAUGCUUUCACUGCUGUGAAGUAAAGAAUUAAAAGCUUACUAUUCUCUUCAAGUGGGUUUUGCCACAUCAUUAGACCGUUGUCUGCAAAAACUAGUAGCUUAGAUGUUUCCUAAUAUUUAACUUGCUUCUGCAAUGUUUUCUGCUAUUAUUGUGUGUUUCUCCACCUUCUUAGUAUCCAUAGGUUUAAUAUCUUUUUUUUUUUGGGUGGUUUGUGAACAUUGUCACUUUAGGUUUUCCAGCAGCUUGCACCAUUUCCUCAUCAAGGGCAGCUCUUGUUUCCGCCUUGACAAGGCGGUGUAGUCAUGAUGUGUUUGUUAAGAAAGAGGCAAGAAAUGGAUCAGCUUGUGCAAAUCCACCAGAUACACAACUUGUCAUUUGGAACUCGAACGGGAUUGAGAAGAGCGCCUGUAAGUGGCAGCUAAAAGGAAAGAGGAACUCAAGGCAGAUGAGUAAGAAACAAGAAGCGAGAAGAAGUGUGUACAGCGAGGAAGCUAAUAAUAACAGGCCACUGCUUCUUCCUGCGCUGUUCGAAGUGAAGAUUGAAGUAAGAGCUAGCUGUAACAAACCACGUGUUCCAUUGGUUUCUCGUAUGAGUAAACUGAACGGUAAAGCUAUUGUUGGGCAUCCUGUAAGUGUUGAAGCCUUGGAAGAGGGAUACUACAACGGUGGUGUGGUGAAGUCUCAAGCUGUUGUGAAGGCAAAGUCAUUGUCUGAAAAGAAAUGCAAGAAGAGGAAAACAAAUGGUGCUUUUGGAAAGUCAUCGAAGUCAAAGAAGAAAUCGUCUUCCUUAUCGGUAAAGACAAGAAGGCUCUCUACUCUGACAGAAAGAAGCAAGAAGCAGACAAUAGAAAAGCUAAAGGAAACGGUUGUGGCUUGUAUACCGUUGAAAGCAAAACCUGAAGGCUAUUAAUGCUUCAGUAGGAAGAUUGGUCUGGGUUCGUCUCCGUAACGGUUCUUGGUGGCCAGGACAGACUCUGCUUCAUGAGGAAGUUCCUGAAAGCUCUCUGCUUUCUCCAAAACUCGGCACUCCUAUAAAGCUUCUAGGUCGUGAUGAUGUUGGCAUGUGAGUCUCUCUUGUCCAUUAUCUCAGUCUCUCUUGAUCUUGAUUGCUGGCUAAAAGUGUGUCUUUUUUUUUGUUUUGUUUCUUAUGAAUCUCCAGUGAUUGGUAUGUACUUGAAAAGUCCAAGAGCAUGAAGGCGUUUCGUUGUGGAGAGUAUGAUGCUCACAUUGAGAAAGCAAAGGCUUCUGCCGCUGCAGCGAGGGCUAGUAGUAAGAAGACUGUCAAAUGUACUCGCCGAGAGAAUGCCAUUAUAAGUGCCUUAGAGAUUGAGAAUGCUCAUCUUGCAAAAGAAGACCAUCCAGACAAUAAUUUGUGUAGUGAGGAGGAAGAUGAUGAGGUUACAGAAUCUGAAGAUAGAGGAGAAGCUGAAGAUGAACUUGACUCAGCGCCAGAGCUAUUACAAUCUAGUAUGUCUUCCCAAAAUGUUGGAACUUUGGUGAAGGUGGAGCCAAAGAGAAGAAGAACACCGAAUGACUCAGAAGAUGAUGGGACUGAAGGAACCAAGCGAAUGAGAGGGCUUGAGGACAUUGGAAAAGAACAUGUGGGUGCUACUGUCUUGCAUAGGCAAGAAAUGGGUUCUAUCUGUAGUGUAAACCUCAGUAAUAGCUAUAUUGCUUCCAAUGGGUACAAGGCAUGCUCACCGUUGUCACUGAAAAGAAAAAGGUCCCAAGUCACUAACGCUAGUGAGUGCUCUAAAAGGAAAAACCGAAGCCGGC
rnacentral:lncRNA from 1 species